AUAUUUGAAGUAAUCCAGGUUCAAUCCUCUGCAGGUUUUGCUUGCAGUAGGUUAGCAGUCCUGAAAGCAUUAACUCCUUUUUUCUCUCUUCUUUUUGUUAUGAGCUGCUUUAAAUUUGCAUUGUUAUUCUGUCAAAGUGCAGGGCAAGAUUCAGCUGGUGCAGGAUAUAUGAAGCAGACCUUUUUAAAGCCGAUGAAGUGCUUGAAUCAUGUCAUCCUCGUCCCAGGACAAGAUGAUCCUAUAGAUCCUGGGUAGCGCUGAGAGUCGAGGAGAUCCUGCAGCAUGAGCUGGAAGGGAAAGUCUCCAGGCAUUACACGACCAGGGUGUUUACCUUAUAAGAAUAUAUGGCACAGUUCCCUACCUAACAUUCAUGUUAAGACCAGAAAGGUGCUUCUGGGCACCAUGGAGUCUGAUGUGAAGGAGGAUUUUUUUUGACAGUAACAGUACGUGUGGUCUCCUCCUGGAGCACUGCUGGGUGUAAGCUGAGCCCUGGAGCUGUCUGUAGGAAGCUGUGGUGGAGAGAGGUGCAGGGAUCCCAGGGGCAUCUGAUUUCCUGCUGCACCUUCUGCUCACACCCCCAGGAACUUCUGCCUUUCAGACCCCCCAGGAACCUCAUGCAGGAAUUUGCAGACAGGAGGUGGAAGUAUCCUGCCUUUCAGGAAUGAUAGGAGCCAUCUCUGUGAGGUAAUGCUGAAUUGUUAGGUGAUGCUGUUGAAAAAUGGUGAAAUACCAGUCUGCUGCUUCAGGUUCUUUAUUUUCAGAGGUGACAUUGGAAUUGGCAGUCUCUUCAAUAACUUCAGGUCUCUUUUGAAUAUGUUCUUGCCCGUUCACCGCUGUAGCUUAAUAGUAUGAAUAGAGAACAGGAAUAAAUGAAUUCCAGAUGAGAGAUCUGCAUACCAGCAGGCAAGGGCUCUCCCGGGCAUUCCUAUGUGAUUGCUAGCUCUGUUUACUAUCCUAAUAUUUUUUUGCUAGCAGAUGAGGAAAAAAUAAUUGAGCUCUUUCACUCCUCCUCCACAAAAUCACUGGCUUCAUAUGCGUUCACUGGCAUUCAUAUGCUUUAUAUCCAUAUGGUGCUCGUUUAAUUGGUGAACGGAGCAAAAAGAUGCGUUCAGGUAUGAGGGUAGGUUAGACUGCUGUUACACUCCAUUCUCCAGAUUGUUUAUUGAAAUAGAGAGGAGCCUUCUGAAGGGCAAGAGCAUGUUUUAGCAGGGCUCCCAAAGGGGACUUGCCAUCGAUUGGAUAUGCACAGCUAGCAAGUAUAGAGUUUCAUGGUGCUCCAGCAGCUGAGUUAUCAGAUCUCAAAGGUACAGCUUGGAGUAGAUUUGACAUUCACCCAGAGCAGCUCACCAUCCAGUCUAGCUAGUGACAGUUAGAAAAACAAAGUGAUUAGUGGAGUAUCAUGGACACACAGGUCAAUAAAAUGGUUAUUAUUAGAACAGUGGAAAAAUGCUGAGUCUUAUGAUUCAGUACAUGUGUUUGUGGACAUUUCUAGGCAAGUGCUUUUGAGUUUUGCACAGAAUGCAUUUUGGAAUUUCUUCAUUCUGAUCCCCCCUUUUCCUUUUUCCUCUUUCCUUGCAGAGCCACAGCAAUCUCUUUUGUCUCUCAGUGCAAGCUGAUUUUUUGUUUCUUUUUCCCACAGUGCAGCCUGUGUCUUUAUUCUUUUUUCCAGAAGAAGAAGAAUGGAUGACCCAACAAUUAGGACCUCAUGGAUAACUCAACAAUUAGGAUUUAAUGGAUGACCCAAUGAUUAGGAUCUAGGCAUCUGACUGGUGAGGAGCUCCCUUGGUAGGAGCUCUCCUCUUUCAGGGGUGUGUGCAGUAUGUCACUAAGGAUGUGAUUACAAGGGCUGAUAGCUUUGGCCAGAACUCUGCUCAAGGUCAGGUUUGCCCACCCUUUGACACUGUUUAGAAGGAACUGUGCCACCGUCCCUGCCAAGUAGAGGAAAGUCAAGAGGCACUGGGAACAAAUAAAGGACAAAGUGAACCUUGUUCUUUAGGAGAGGUGGAUUUUGCCAGCACAAUAGCUAGAUUACACAGCCAUUUCCUCCAAUUACCUUCUCUGUCAAAUCUCUGUGUCAUCUGGCACUAGGAAAGUUUGGUUUCAAAUUCGUUGUGAAUCGGGGCAGUGACACCAGAGAUUUCUAAAUUAAUAUCCUGCCAACAGGAAUUGAGCUUGUUUUUUCCAAUUGUGUCAGUUCUGAUUCUGUUGCUUGUCAUAGAAAACUUUGGCUUGCCAUCUGGUUUCAGGGGCAUGGGUUAAGGAAAUCUUACGUUGCUCAACCCAGCACUGUGUGCUUGUCUCAUGUCUUCCUCUCUUCGUCUCUGUUCUCACUGUCAAUGUGUAGGUGUGGGAUGUCUUCCAAGGAACUAUUGGUAUUGGUAUUGGAACUAUUGACUUGCAGCCAAGGGGGAGAUUUGCCCUGGCAGCUUGCUAAAAUCUUCAUGAAGCUCAUCCUUCCCUCCUCCCCGGCUGAAUGACACUUUGGUUCAGGAGAUGUUGUGCACUAUGGUCCCAUGUUAAAGCAGCUCCUUGCCUUGCCUAGCAAAGUAGCUCUGAGUUAACAAAAGGGGUUGUUUUGGCCUGUGAGUAGCAGUGGUGCCUGCCUCCUCUUCCUGUUCUCAGUUGUGUGGCAAUGCAAGAAGAAUGGUUAAGACCAACAAGGGGGGUUUCAGUGGGUAUCGAGGCUGCAGGGGCUGAUGUGGUGGUAUUGCUUUCAUAGUUAUCCAGAAGAUACAAAUGUGAUGCUGCACGUCCUGGAGCUGGCCUGGUGGAGCUGAGAGCAGAUGGAUGGAUGGACCCAGUGCUGCUGAUCCGUGGCAGUGAGGCUGUGCAUUGUACAUGGAACCACUCACGUGAUUCCUGUCGAGCCAAAAUAUUCUUUCAGAAAGAGCAUUGACCAGAUGCCUUAUUAUUAUUGCUCACAAUGCUGUCCUCAGAGUACAACAAUCCAUCACGGAGCUCGGCGCAGCCCUACAGAAAAGUCCCUGACACAUUUUUACAGAAGGGCCAGGUUCUCACCACUUGUGUGCAUUUGUAUCCCUUGACAAAUAGCUGUUUGACUUCAGUUUUGUUCCAAGUCAGUGGUGUCAAGCACAGGGCUCCUAUUCAAGUGCCCACCAAUGGUGAUGCACAACUCCCUGCUUCCUCUUCUUUUCUUGCUUUGUUUCCUUGUGACAGUCACUGUUUCUUUUUUUUUUUCCCUUCUCCUCACAUAUCUCAUAGGUUUGCUUUAAAGAUAGUUUUAAAGGAUAUUUUUGCAGCAAAAAAGUGCCUUUAAUAAGAACUGUAAAAAUGGCUCAGGACUAGAUGUGAUGGGGAAUUGCCAUUUGCAUAGGUUGCUGAUAUGACACUUGAUUACUUUCUGGUAAUUUUUUCCAAGUUGAUUAGCACACUGGCUAGCAAAGCCUUGGGUGUGUUGAGAAAUACUGUGGUUUGACUUGUGCUCAAUGUAUGGCUCCUCUUAAAACCAAGAGGUGUGUUCCUAAGUGCUCUGAGCACCUCAGAUGUGUGGUAGAAUUAUUAUUACCAGGUUAUGAGCGGUGCUGUUUGUCCUUUCGUAUCAGCCUUUUAGGCAAGACGUUGACUUUAAAUUGCUUCCUGAGUUAAAUGUAUCCCCGAGGUUGUCUGGAAGGAACAGACUCCAGCUGUGUCAUGUGCUGUGUGAACUUACAGAACAACAAUGUCCCUCUGUUUGAGGUGUAUUGAGAGUAUGGUGACUGAGGGAUGUACAGAAAGCCAACUGGGAGUGGAAGCAUAGCAACAAAUGCAUGUGCAUAGAUAAGGGCUGUCUGAACAUCGCCUCCUUCAGAGGAAUCUAUUUCAUUAUUUGAGUGUACCACUCCUGAAGUUGUCUUGGUGGAGCUCCCAGAGUAGGGAUGAAGCCCACACAUAGCAGUAUUGAGUCCUGGCUGCGUAAUGCCAACGUGACUUCUGCUGGUUGUUAAAUGUUUUGCUUUAUAAAUGAGGAGUCUUUCAUAUUCUCCAGACUGUGACUUUCCGUCAUACUUUUCCCUCUGACUUCAGCCAGUAAUUUGUGUGCUCACAGAGCAUUUUCCAUCACAUGAGCCUGAAAUGGAAGAGGAUUUAUGGAAUGGAGAGCAUGAGGCACCAAUUCAGCAAAUACCAGAGUGUGUAUGUAAGUGUUUGCAGGUCUAAAUAUGCAAGUGGUCUUGAUCUUCUUAAGCUGCUCCAUACUGCUGACUCCAAAGGCUGAUGUGAGAACCUGCACACAGUUUGCACAUCAAGAUUUUUACAAGUUUUGUAUAAUGAGAGCUUUCUCACUGUGUUGAUUGAGCAUCAUCUUCCACUCACUACUUCUCAGCCUGUUUAAUAGAUUUACUGCUACUGAGCACCCUCAGUGGAUGCUGAAUGUCACAUUGUUGGUGCAGUGGCCUCAUUACUUUCUUAGGAUCUUAAGCUUCCAUUCUUUUAAGUUUUGGCAAGUACAUGAUGGUGUAUCUGACCUAUUAUUGUUCCUUUCUUCUUCUGACCUGUUGAUGCCUCCCAGCCAUGGUUCAUCAUUACGGAGGCUGUUGCUGGUCCUGCCUAUGCUCUGAUGCUUCCUCUGGAGUUCAGCUUCGAAGUAAUCUCACAUCACAUUGCAAACUUUUUUUCAAGCCAGAGACCUGUCUGUAAUUCGUAGCUCACCAGGGUCUGCAGGCCAGAGGCUGAAAAGUGCUGCAUCAAAGGAGCUGAGUGCUGGAGAUGUGGCUGAGAUGGAAAUGAAGGUCUAAAGUCCCAAACUGGAAACCACCCAGGCCUCCUUGCUCAACUCCCUCCUGAUGCUCCUGCAAACAAGGUCAAAAUAACCAUUCUGGGUAAUAAGAGAGCUCCAUCACAUCAACUUGCUGCAUAAUUCCUUCCUGUCAGACUGGCUUGGAUUUUGUUGCCUGCCUCUCUACCAGAUUAAAAGACUCCUGUAAGUGAAAUCUACAAGCACUGAAGAAAAAGUCCCAUGCUCUCAAGGAAAAAAUGAGAAAUUUAGGUUCUAAAAAAUGGAAAAUCUCCAGCAAUACCUGUGUUUACCUCUUGUCUCUCUAGAGAUGCCUUUACUGUCUCAUUAUAUGCUCCAGGAUUGUGUUUACUUGAGAGAAUUGAGGGAAAUAGGCAGAACUAAGUGGUGAUGGGACCGUGAUCUUAUGCAGCCAUGUAUUUCUACGUGGAAGGGAUUGGGAGGAGGUGGGUCCAUGGCGUUUGCUCUCAGACCUUGGGAAAGAAGCCUGGGAGCUUCAUAUCCCUCCCUGUGAGGAGGAGGUGGGAAACGCUCAGCACAGACCACUCCAUCUUAAGGCCUUCCCAUCACACUGAUUUUAUUUGUGUUUUGAGAUAACUCAAGAAUCACCGUGGCGUGCUUACAGAACCGUGGUUGUGCUGGGAAUCUCAGGCAGGGUCAGGGCAGGCAGUUUGCUUUGGCAGGCACGGUGUGAGCGCAUGGGGUGAGGGCUGACCGCCUCCUUCACUCCACACUGACGGGUUGGCCAUUUUCCUUGGGUGGUGGCCAGCUAUUCCUGCUAGAUUCACAUUACAGGGCUGCAUUUGCACUCUUCUACAUCAUCCCAGGCAUCCAGAUGUGUGACAGACGUGCACGCAUGCACUGCACUGCGGAUGCUGUAUUUUGGCUGCAGCUGAGGUAAAUAUUAUUUCUGUAUCAUGAGGAGGAUGAAAUAAUACCUCUGGAGGAUUUGGAAGAAAGAUGGAGGAGACUCAGUUUAUCAUGGUCUGCCCAUAGCUUUUUCCACUUAAGCACGUUGUCAUGCAACAAGAAAUAAAGCAGGGGAAGAAAAUGCAGCCUACUGAUUAAAGGGAUUUUGGUCUCCAAACGAAUCCUGGUCAGCCCCUUCCAAAAAAACACGUUGUUUGCAGUGGCAUCCUCCACCCCUUGCUUUUCUGUAACUAUCAGGACGCUUCUUCUCCCUCUCCUAAAAUGUGAGUUGUUCACAUCUGCUCAGCUGCAGCUCACACAGAGGCUGACUCUGGGGUCCUCAGCCUGGAGGGGAUAGGAGAACAACACAAGCUCAUCCAACUGGUAAAAUCCUGUCCAUAAAUUAGAAGUGCAGGCUCACAGCUCUUGUUUUUAAACACUAAACGCAUCUGGUCGCUCUGCUAAAGACUCUCAUCCUAGCAGAAAACUAUAGUAAUCACAAAAUCCUGUUUAAUGGGGAAAAAAAGGAUACAUGGCAGAAGCAAAAGGUUGGCUUGAAUCGUAUCUCUUGCCCCAUGCCUGGCACCGUGUGACAUCCAAAGCACAUCACAGCCAUAGGAUGGCAUCGUGAUGCUGCUGUGAGAUUGUCCCAUGUGCACAGACUGGAGCACCCCAACCUCAUCCCUGUCUCCAUAGGCAGUGGUAGUGUAGGGAGGGAGGGAUACCAAACACAUGGCAAUGUGUUGGCAGGCUGCUUUCCAUCCCUUUUCUCUAUAACCUCCACAUAAACAUAAUUACCUACAACAUCCCACACUAAGCUUUUAAGUAGGAUUUUCUGAGCAAGAAACAGAGUGAUGCUAUGCUGGAAAAGGUAGCUGGGCUGAUGGGUGGGUGUUUCGUGGUUCUCCCCACUAGAUAUGCUCUUCUCUAUCCAGUGUGUCCCUUCUGUGAAAAGUGAGUAGUGUUUUCUCCCCAUUCAUACCUUUCUUAAUAAAAUAAAGUAUCUUUCCAGGCUGCCCAUGAUUUCAAUAAAGCAGGAGCAGGUUAAAUCCCUCAAAUCCCUUUCUUCAACUUCAUGCCCCUAUUACAACUGUGCUCCUGGAGCUGGGGCAUUCAGUCCCUCCCAGUCCAGGCUGUAAAGCAUUUCUCCUUCCAUCUCCUUUUUCAUGAAUAUCUAAAGGACUGGGUGGCUUUUCCCCACCCUCUCAUGGCCCUCUCACUCCCAGCUCUGUGAAACCUGAGUCCAGAGCUCAGGUUUUCUCACGCUUCCCAUCUCUUUGCUGAGCAGAGCAGCUGCAGGCAGUCUAUAUGGGGACACACUGAGGGAUAUUUUCUGGAUUACCCAAGAAACAGUCAUCAGCUUGGAAGACACCCAUGGGCAGCACUUUGCAGGAGAUGCUCUGUGGCAAUGCCAAAAGGUGCCCAGAGGUAAGGGGCAGGGAUUUGGAACAGGAUGAUCUUUGAGGUCCUUUCCAACCCAAGCUAUUCUAUGAAUGGAAUCUGGAGGGUCGGAAGGAGAAGUUAAAAGCCUGAGGGCACCCUGUCCAGCUUGGAAAUUGCUCACAGGGAAGGCGAUUUUCACCACAUCCGUCAGAUAACUGAAAACCAAAUGCAGUAAAAAUGCUCCUUUAGGGACAAGACAGCAGCUGGAUGAAAUCAGGGUCCCAAAGCCCAGCAUAAGGCUCUGUGUCUGGGGUGAGAUGUCUCCUGGAGGCUGAUGUGACAACCUGCCCCGCCGCCCUAGUGGGGUCCCAUCCACUCUGAGAUCAUCUCUCUUGCUGGUGUCCAAAGCUGACUCAGUGCUCACACGUGCUGCUUUUUGGCCUUAUUUAUUACCAUUUCCCAACAUCCAAAAUAAACAAUGCCUGAGGUUCUUUAGCCCCUUCAAGCGGGAGCUGUGCCUGUGCUGGGGUCCUGCAUCCCCCAGGCUCAAAAGAUGACAAAUCCCCUGGCACAGGCAAUGCCUUUCAGCUAAGUCCAAACCUGUUUAGUCUCAGGGCAAAGGGAGCUGAAAGGAGAGCCUGGUUGGCAGGUCUGGUUUAAACAGUGCAACUGGGGCAUCCCCCCAUACUCCUCUGCAGAUAAAUCACAGUUCAAAGGAGCCCAUGCAGUGGCAGCUGGGAUAUCCGAGCCAGCAACAGAAGGCAAUAUGUGCUUCCAACCCAUUCCUCACCCCUAUAAAAACACACAAACAGGAGCAGAAAGGCCACCACCUGUGGGACUCUGCCCUGAAGGUAGGAUUCAAAGGACAGCUGUGGGCACAGGGAGAUGAGAAUAGGAGGAAUGGGCAAAGCCAUGGGAGCAGGACUGCAGCUUGCUGGCUCUAAUGAUGCUGGGCUGUACCAAGGGGCAGCUUGAUGGGUUCAAUUUAUCGCUAUUCCCUCCCUACAUAAUCUCUGAGAAGUGCCACUUUCAGUUUGUAUAUCUUUCCUUGACAUGUAUAUUUAGCACUCAUUAACCACUUACCUUGGGGUAAUAAUUCAGCUUUUUGUUCCAAACUCUAAAUUUCCUCAUUUCCGUGAGUUCUUGGAGCCAAAGAGAACUUUUCUGACAGAUUAAUUUCGACUUUGUUUGAAGGCUUACUGCAGCCUUUCGGUUUAUUUGAACAAAAUUUUCCGUGUUUUCCAAAGAUUAGUCAUUAUGAAACCAUUUCAUUGCUUUAAAGCCCUAAAUGGUUCUUACCCCUUUCAGCAAAAAGCAAGAUCAGAAUGUCAGAAAUUGGUUGUUUUUAAGAAGAAGAAAAAAAACCCACCCUCAUUACAUCUGGGUGUGUUAGCCAAGCUUGCAGCAAUUAACAUCGCUGUUUCUGUCCAAAUCUUUUACUGCUCUAAUUUAUAGGUGCUAUCAUUGCUUUAUUCUAGAUUCAAUGGCCCAGUGGUUUCUUUUCCAUCUAUUUAACCUCUGUCAGCACAUAAAUCCUCAGGAAUGAUGGGACCUGGAUUGAGUAGCUCUUGCACAACACCUUUGUGCAAACAUUAAGUACACUGCAAUGCUUAAGCACACGCUUAAAUGUGACUUGAGUGCAAUCUUAGCAACUGUGUCAACCAGAUUAAACUGUGUCAAGCAGAGAGGAUUAGGGCUGUUUGCUGGAAAAGAGACUGAUGCUGAGGGGCUGAGCACCUUCAUGCUUGAUUUCCUGCCUAUGCAAAAAGCAACAUCAGUGCAACAAGUCAAAGCAAGCACAGGCUGCACCGCAGGGUUUUCCCCAUCAGCAGAAGUUGAACUUGGCUCACAGCUGAACCUGAACCUGAACCAGAACCACCAAACGUGGGGGAUAACAAAUGUUUAAAUUCUUGAUUGCAGAGAAACUGGGGAGGUGCCACCAGGAGCCUCUCUGCGUUUCCUCAUCCCACCUUGAGGAAAUGCUAUGGUCAGCAAAAGUCUCCAAGAAGUGUUUUGUGGUUGGGUUUGGGUUCUGUUUUCAGGUUAUUAUUUUAUUUCCACUGCUCAGCUGUAGAAGGAGACACUUUGCACAUGAACAAGGAGUCCCCACAGGCUGCAGGAAAACAAUCAGCAGCCCAGGCUGAGUAGGAAGUGGUUGGAAAUCUAUCCCAGAAAGCUGAGAAGAGAAGCACUCAGCUUUGAGGAGGAUUUCUCCCUCUGGUGUAGGUUAUUGCCAUUGGAAAAACCAGGAUGGAGGACAAGAAAAGCUGAAAGCGAAAACUGGGGAGGCCUGUAAUUGGGCAAGAGGGAAGGAGAGGUGUGAAACCAGCCCCCAACCUGUUGCUUUGUUGCAGGACUCACCUUUAGCCUGCAUGAAAAUCCCCACACCGGGAUCCCAUCUGCAAAGCCUGUUUUCAAGUCACACUGCGCUAAUUUGUGGUUUUGAGGAGAGACUAUUGGAAAAUAACAGCACAAAUCCAAGCCAAAGUUGCUAAUUUUGGCUGGUCUUUGCCUUUCUUGGUUCCAAUUAAAGCUACAUUUUGUUUGAAAACAUGGAACUCAGACAUAAAGAAAAAGGAACUAGAUUAUGAAGAUUUCCAUUCAUUAGUAUGGCCUAAUACAACCGAGUUUUGCACAGUGCAAGGACAGGAUAUUCCCCACCACCACAUUUUGGGUUUUUUGUUUGUUUGUUUGUUUGUUUUUUGUCUGUUUGU